CGGCGCGGGGCUGGCGCCAGGGGCCGGCGGCGCGGGGCCGGCGGGGGUCCACAGCUGGGGGUCGGCCUCCGAGGACAACCUGUCCUCCGCCCGCUGCAGCGUGGGCAGCACGUCGGAGGGGGCCCUGUUCACGGACCUGGAGCACCUCCACCCGUCGCUGGGGGCCCCCGAGGGCCCCGGGCCCGCCGGAGGUCUGCAGCGGGCCCCCGAGGAGACAGGCCGCCGGCCGGGCAGUCCGUUAUCUACCGACGGCAACGUGAGCGCCGCCGCGACCCACAGACGACCCCGCAAACACAAACCAGCCGCCGCCGGUCACCACGGUUACCCGCCGACUGCGGCCGCGUUCUACGACGCAGGUUCCGCGGAGCCCCUCUCCCAGCUCUCCAACGGCCCGUCGCUCCCAUCCAUCCCGGCUCCUGGGAGCCCAGACGUCGUCCUCUGCGCCGGGGCGUCAAGGACGGCCGACGCAGAGGUUCCUGCGGAGCUGGAGGCCUUCCAGACCCCUCUUGAGGAAGAGGAGGAUGAGGAGGAGGAGCAGGAGGAGGAGGA
ensembl:lncRNA